rnacentral:rRNA from 1 species
GACGAACGCUGGCGGCGUGCCUAAUACAUGCAAGUCGAACGCUUCUUUCCUCCCGAGUGCUUGCACUCAAUUGGAAAGAGGAGUUGCGGACGGGUGAGUAACACGUGGGUAACCUACCCAUCAGAGGGGGAUAACACUUGGAAACAGGUGCUAAUACCGCAUAACAGUUUAUGCCGCAUGGCAUAAGAGUGAAAAGCGCUUUCGGGUGUCGUUGAUGGAUGGACCCGCGGUGCAUUAGCUAGUUGGUGAGGUAACGGCUCACCAAGGCCACGAUGCAUAGCCGACCUGAGAGGGUGAUCGGCCACACUGGGACUGAGACACGGCCCAGACUCCUACGGGAGGCAGCAGUAGGGAAUCUUCGGCAAUGGACGAAAGUCUGACCGAGCAACGCCGCGUGAGUGAAGAAGGUUUUCGGAUCGUAAAACUCCGUUGUUAGAGAAGAACAAGGACGUUAGUAACUGAACGUCCCCUGACGGUAUCUAACCAGAAAGCCACGGCUAACUACGUG